ACAAAAUAAGAGGGUGGAACAAUGAAUCCGCUCUCAUUACGCGGUCAAAAGUCUUGGGAGGAUACGGUCCUGGCGCGGUUACUCGCCGCCGCCGUUUAAAAAAAACGGAAGCGGAUCGGACGCGUUCUAGUUGCAAGGCUUCUGCCUUGCUUUUUUUU
rnacentral:sRNA from 1 species